rnacentral:rRNA from 1 species
UACAGAGGUCUCAAGCGUUGUUCGGAUUCAUUGGGCGUAAAGGGUGCGUAGGCGGCGCGGUAAGUCGGGUGUGAAAUCUUGGAGCUUAACUCCGAAACUGCAUUCGAUACUGCCGUGCUUGAGGACUGGAGAGGAGACUGGAAUUUACGGUGUAGCGGUGAAAUGCGUAGAUAUCUGGAGGAAUACCGGUGGCGAAGGCGGCAUCCUGGACCGACAUUGACGCUGAGGAGCGAAAGCGUGGGGAGCAAACAGG